rnacentral:rRNA from 1 species
AACUUUCAACAACGGAUCUCUUGGCUCUGGCAUCGAUGAAGAACGCAGCGAAAUGCGAUAAGUAAUGUGAAUUGCAGAAUUUAGUGAAUCAUCGAAUCUUUGAA